rnacentral:lncRNA from 1 species
CUCCUUCCCUGCCAGUUCCCUUGCGACGGACUCCCUGCUUUAUUUUCUUCUGGCACAUUCCAGCCUGUGCGGUUGUCCAUGUGUUUAUUCAGAUCCCCCACUGGAAUGUCAGCGGUACGAGGACAGGGGCGUUUCCUGCCUUGUUUUCUGUUGACCUCCACUGCUCAGAACAGGACCUGAUACAAUGUAGACAGUUGAAAUCUAUUUGUUGCAAUGAAGAGAGGAAUGAAUAAAAUCGCCUAAAGCUUGCUCAGACUCGGUUUCCUCAACUAUCAAAUGGCUAUAAUAUCUUCCAGGUUGUCAUGAAGAUUAGUUGAGAUCAUGCGUGGAAGUGAUGGCCUUCAUAGGAGCUCUUGAUAUAAGAUGCUGAAUUUGAAGUCUUCCUUGGCCACCGAAUAUGUUCUGGGCUCCAAGGAUCAGUAAGGCCCUUCUUCUGCGGGUGAUGGGGUGGAAGACCUGGGACGUGCCAUCUUCAAUGCAAGGGCUUGCCUCUUCUCUUUCAGGGAGGAGAGGGAAUUGAGUGGACGCGUUACUCCCUCAGAGUUCUUUUUUUUUUUUUUUUUUUUUUACCGUUUUCCAGGUGUGAAAGUCACACACUGGCUGUGAUUAUCUGCCUGAGUCCUUAUUUAAUUGUUAUUUUGGGAUCAGUUGUUUUUGAAAGAUCCCCCAGCUGAUACACAUUGCUGGUGUUUUGCCAAGAGAGAUAAACAGUCUCAGCUUGUACCGCAACUGGAUUCAGUGUGAGCAAAAUAUAGCAGCUGUCUCCCAGCAGAGCCGUCUGCCCUGGAAAUACCUGGGUGGCCUGAUUCAAAUUCACCUUUCAAAUCUUUACCUUGUCAAUUUUGGUAAUGCACAGAUGCUCUGGUCCUUCGGGACCGCCUAAUCAGGUUUCUCACACCUCAAACAGUUGCACUCCCUGAAAAGUGUCCUGGAGAGCAACUUAAUCUUCAUUGCCCCAAACUAGUGAUUAUUCUAUUCAACCAAAAUGGAGACGUAAAACCCAGUGCUGAGCAAAUGUUCACUUCUGUGGUCUGUAAAGAAUGUUAUGAAUUAAACUGAAAAUUGAAAUUACUCAGCACAAUAAUAAAUGCUUACUGAGUGUUGUUAUUUUGCA